rnacentral:rRNA from 1 species
AUUGGAUGAGCCCGCGGCCUAUCAGCUUGUUGGUGGGGUAACGGCCUACCAAGGUGAUGAUGGGUAGCCGGCCUGAGAGGACGAUCAGCCACACUGGGACUGAGACACGGCCCAGACUCCUACGGGAGGCAGCAGUGGGGAAUAUUGCGCAAUGGGCGAAAGCCUGACGCAGCGACACCGCGUGCGGGAUGAAGGCCUUCGGGUUGUAAACCGCUUUCGGCAGGGACGAAGCGAAAGUGACGGUACCUGCAGAAGAAGGUCCGGCUAACUACGUGCCAGCAGCCGCGGCCGAAU